AGUUUUGUAAAAAAAAUAUCGAUGUCUUUGAUUUGUGGAGAGCCGGGCGGCCCUCUCUUAUCAGAGCCGCUAUUGAGUUUAUACAAAUCACCCAUGUCAGGGUGUGCAUUCCUGACAUAUUUCAAUCCAGAAAGUGCAUCAAAUGCACAAAGCGCCCUCCAUGAAAAACGGACGCUACC